rnacentral:lncRNA from 1 species
UACUGAUCAUCAGCACAUGCAUAAACAUAAGCGAUAAAAAGCAACAAAAUAGACAAACCACAAAAGCAGUAAAAUAAAGUGGAACAGAAGCAUUUAUGUGGAAAAAACUUUUCUAGCGGAAAAAAAAAAACUUUGGAAGAGUAAGGAGAGAACUUUGCCAUAGAAAACGAGUACAAUAUAUUUUUUCGAGAUUAUAAUACGCUGUAUCGUAUCUACGAUAAAAAAGAGAAGGAAAUUUCUUAACAAAUUUCUUCAUAUUAGCUAGAUCUGAUCCGCACCACAGAAGGCUUAUUAGCCCGAGCCCUCCGCUACCUACCACAAACAUCUCUUUUUUUUUCUUUCUUCCCAAAAUCGAAGUCGAUAACUAAAUUUUAAGACACAUCUAAUAUAUAUAAACAAAUAUCUUAGUCGCGUAU